CUGACAGCUGUCCUUCAUGACAACAGAAGCCACAGAAAUCCUCCUCAUCAAAAACAUGACUUUGAUCUCCGUCCUCAUCUGGACUCUCCUCUGCUGCUGCUUCACAGAGUCCAGAGGCCAGAUCACAGUGACUCAGCCUGCAGCAGUGAGAGCUGAUCUGAGAGGAUCUGCAACCAUCAGCUGUAAGACCAGUCAGAAUGUUGCUGGAGACUGUGGCGGUUCCAGCCCUUGUUUAUUCUGGUACCAACACAGAGAUGGAGAAACUCUUAAACUUCUCAUUUAUCGUGCUACCACUCGAGCAUCAGGGAUUCCAGGUCGUUUUUCAGGCAGUGGAUCAAACUCUGACUUCACUCUGACCAUCAGUGGAGUUCAGGCUGAAGAUGCAGCCGUUUAUUACUGUCAGAGUCUUCAUUGGCCCAACAGUCAGCUUGUGAUCACACAGUGA